UACGGAGGGUGCAAGCGUUAUCCGGAUUUACUGGGUUUAAAGGGUGCGUAGGUGGACAGGAAAGUCAGUGGUGAAAUCUUCGAGCUUAACUCGGAAACUGCCAUUGAUACUAUUUGUCUUGAAUACUUUGGAGGUAAGCGGAAUAUGUCAUGUGGCGGUGAAAUGCUUAGAUAUGACAUAGAACAACAAAUGCGAAGGCAGCCUACUACACAGUGAUUGACACUGAGGCACGAAAGCGUGGUGAUCAAACAGG
rnacentral:rRNA from 1 species